AUUUGCUCUAUUUAUUAUAGUGAUAAUUUAUAUGUGAAAGGCUAUCUCCAACAUGAUGUUUAUGUCUUAACUAGUGUGAAUGCUAAUUCGAUUAUGCAUGUUUCAAGUCUUAAGAGGAAAAGAGAUGAUCAUGUAAAUCAAACAUACCUUUGGCAUUGUAGGCUUGGUCGGAAAAGAGAUGAUCAUGUAAAUCAAACGUACCUUUGGCAUUGUAGGCUUGGUCAUAUUGGAGAGAAAAGAAUUAAAAAGUUGUACAAGGAAGGGUACCUU
rnacentral:lncRNA from 1 species